rnacentral:miRNA from 1 species
GGGGAAUUUAACAAAGAACAAAAAAGGUGGGUAUCUGCUGACAUGGGGGCGGAAGUCAGGCUCUAGGAGGCGGGUACUCUGCAUCUU